rnacentral:tRNA from 1 species
AAUAUAUUUCUAGUAUAAAAAUUACAUUAACUUUUCAAGUUAAAGAUAUAUAUAUAUAAUUAUGAAAUAU